rnacentral:misc_RNA from 1 species
AAGGAUAUAUUCGGAACAUCUCGUAGAGAUGAGGRRUAACGUGACAUAUUGUAUUCAGUUUUGAAUGUUUAUUUUAAACAUUCWACAACUAAAUGAAAAUUGCAUUCAAAAUUAUAUUUUUGAUAUACUAUUUUGAUGURAUUGUUUGUUUAUUGAUUGUACAUUGAAAACUAGAUAAGUAAGUAAAAAUAGAUUUUACCAAGCAAAACCGAGUGAAUAAGAGUUUUAAAAAAGCUUGAAUUCAUAAAAUAUAAUCGCUAGUGUUCGAAAGAACACUCACAAGAUUAAUAACAGGUUUCUUAARAUUAGAACUCACGUUCUAAUAUGGUKGAAACAUA